rnacentral:miRNA from 1 species
UAUGUACAACCGUGAGUGGAGACC